AUUCCAGCUCUAAUAGCGUAUAUUAAAGUUGUUGCAGUUAAAAAGCUCGUAGUUGGAUUUCUGGGCUGAGCGACCGGUCCGCCGCUGUGCGGUGUGUACUCGUGUUCGACUCGGCUCAUCCUUGUGGGGAAACGCAUUUCGGCAUUAGGUCGUCGAGGCGGGGAACCGCAUCGUUUACUGUGAAAAAAUUAGAGUGUUUAAAGCAGGCAAAUUGCUGUGAAUACAUUAGCAUGGAAUAAUAACAUAGGACUUUGGUUCUAUUUUGUUGGUUGGAGGCCAAGGUAAUGAUUAAUAGGGAUAGUUGGGGGUAUUCAUAUUUAAUUGUCAGAGGUGAAAUUCUUGGAUUUAUGAAAGAUGAACUCAUGCGAAAGCAUUUACCAAGGAUGUUUUCAUUA
rnacentral:rRNA from 1 species